GUGAGGAAUAUUGCGCAAUGGAGGCAACUCUGACGCAGUCAUGCCGCGUGCAGGAAGAAGGCGCUACGCGUUGUAAACUGCUUUUAACCGGGAAGAAACCCCAGGACGUGUCCUGGGUUGACGGUACCGGAGGAAUAAGCACCGGCUAACUUCGUGCCAGCAGCCGCGGUAAUACGAAGGGUGCAAGCGUUAUCCGGAUUCAUUGGGUUUAAAGGGUGCGUAGGCGGAGCGUUAAGUCAGUGGUGAAAUCCUGCAGCUUAACUGUAGACUUGCCAUUGAUACUGGCGCUCUUGAGUGCGCUUGAAGUGGGCGGAAUGUGCCGUGUAGCGGUGAAAUGCUUAGAUAUGGCACAGAACACCAAUUGCGAAGGCAGCUCACUAAGGCGAUACUGACGCUGAGGCACGAAAGCGUGGGGAUCGAACAGGAUUAGAAACCCGGGUAGUCC
rnacentral:rRNA from 1 species